AAGCAGUGAAAUUGAAUUUAAAAAGUCCACAGAAGGAGUUAGUUCGUUGUUAGGGGAGAUAAUUAGAUAGGAUUUUACGCCUUUUGUUUGCCUCGCGCUUAUUUCACUCAGCUCGAUUCAGGCGAGAUUAUGAACGCUGGUGGUUUGGCACAGAAGACGUUAAUGUAGGCUACUACUGAUGGCUGGACACCACGGCUAAUUGAUCCGUAUAGGCUACUGAUGGCUGGACACCACAGCUAAUUGAUGCAGUGUUGUGUUUUCCCCUGUUUACUGCCACCAGGAUGAUCGCGCCAGUUACCCAGGCUUGGCAGGAUCUGCAUGAGUCCAGACAAGACCUGACCUGGGCUGAUGAUGGGGCCAGCUAUGGUGGAAGCAGGAAGUGGACUUACAGCAGACGCAGGGAGCGCAGUCCAUCAAACGCAUGCACUGGCACACAUCGUAUCUGAUUAUAACUCAGGAUGCUGCAGAGACGGAAAAAGAGGGAGAGAGAAGGGGAGAAUGAGGAACAGCAGGAAAGAGAGGAAGCGAGAAAAAGAACAGAGCUGCAGUGAAAACCACAGACAGAAGAUGGAUUUGCAUGGUAUUAUGAAAACUGCAGUGGCAAGUACGAGUAAGAGGAGUAAUGUAUAAUAACUGUAGUUGUGUUUGUCCCCCACCACUUCUUGUCCUUCUUUCUUUUGUUUCUCUCCCUCUUGAUGCACUGUAUUGAUAAUAAUUGAUUAAUAUGUUUGUUUUAAUUUCUCUGUUUUAAUGUUUCCAAUGUUUCCACCUCUGAAUUAGUAAUAGUAGUAAUUUUUAUAUUUCGUUACAGUGAUACUCACUAUACAGUUAAACAUGACACGUGGAGCCACUAAAUAAAAUUCUUACUACCUUAUACCAAUGUUAUUUUUUAUCAUUUUCAGUCAGGCAAGAAUUUUAAGAAUUUUACAAAUAUUUUUUUAUAUUGUGCUGUCCUAAUCCCACAUAUAUACUCAGGUACAAGAAAGUGCAGAGUAGGAAAGAAGUGAACACAGCCCAGACUGAGACACCAGAAGAGAUGGGUGGGGUGAAGCGGGUGAAGUCUGAAAGAGUGAUGGAUGAGUGGAGCUGAU